UACGAAGGGGGCGAGCGUUGUUCGGAAUUACUGGGCGUAAAGGGCGCGCAGGCGGCCAAUCAAGUCAGGCGUGAAAGCCCCGGGCUUAACCUGGGAAUUGCGCUUGGGACUGAUGGGCUUGAGUUCGGGAGAGGAGAGUGGAAUUCCCAGUGUAGAGGUGAAAUUCGUAGAUAUUGGGAAGAACACCGGUGGCGAAGGCGGCUCUCGUGGACCGAUACGUGACGCUGAGGCGCGAAAGCGUGGG
rnacentral:rRNA from 1 species